GGAUGUGAGGGCAAUCUUGCUGUGACAACUGUCACCCCAUUGAUCACCAGGGUUGAGUCAUCUGAUCUGGCUGGCUACACCAGUGUCCUCUUCCUCCCUCACCACUCUAUGUGCAGUCUUCCUGAAGCUGUGCGCUUGGUCAAAGAGAAUGGCCUUUCCUGAAUAGAGGAGGUCUGGUCUUCGAUCAAGGGUAUACAAGUAGCUGUUCUUCACUGCUAGAACCUCCAAACAAGCUCUCAAGAACAGAAAAUAAUUCAUGGGGAGAAUCUAGUUGGCACAUAUAUGAAUUUUUGCUAUAAAAUUCUUU
ensembl:misc_RNA 7SK 7SK RNA